AACGAACGCUGGCGGCAUGCCUAACACAUGCAGGUCGAACGAGACCUUCGGGUCUAGUGGCGCACGGGUGCGUAACGCGUGGGAACCUGCCCUUAGGUUCGGAAUAACUCCCCGAAAGGGGUGCUAAUACCGGAUAAUGUCUUCGGACCAAAGAUUUAUCGCCUUUGGAUGGGCCCGCGUUGGAUUAGCUAGUUGGUAGGGUAAAAGCCUACCAAGGCGACGAUCCAUAGCUGGUCUGAGAGGAUGAUCAGCCACACUGGGACUGAGACACGGCCCAGACUCCUACGGGAGGCAGCAGUGGGGAAUAUUGGACAAUGGGCGAAAGCCUGAUCCAGCAAUGCCGCGUGAGUGAUGAAGGCCUUAGGGUUGUAAAGCUCUUUUACCCGGGAUGAUAAUGACAGUACCGGGAGAAUAAGCUCCAGCUAACUCCGUG
rnacentral:rRNA from 1 species